AGGUUUGUCUUUAUAAACUCUCAUUCUCUCUCCCUCUCUAAGAUUUCCAGGCCAUGUGUUGCCGGAAUCGACGAUCUGACGUUGCUACGUGGAUCAGGGAAGGAAUCUCUAUAGGUUCAAUGAAUCAUAAUUUCGUUUCAAAGAUUUCAGAGUUUUUCUUGAAAAUCGAGGUUGUUUUUGAAUGUAGAAAAUUGUGUGGCGGGUGUUGAUGUUGUAAUAUACUGGAACUGUUGUGAGAAUGCAGGAAGUUUAUUUGACAGCUACGGGCCGGAUUUCACAUAAUGAUGUGUUUUGUGAAAUGAUUUCAAAAGAGUGUUUAAAUUGCUUAAAUUGUACGAUAUGCUUUAGGAACCCUGAGGACUAAUAGUGUAGGCAAGGAUCCAUUGCCAGUGAGGGCACCAUGGUUUUGAUCUAUAUGUACCCAGGCUGUAUUGAGACAGUAGGGGCGGUCUUAGUGUGAGUUUGCCUCUUGAUCGUGUACCCAGGUUGUAUUGAGACAGUAGGGGCGGUCAACCCUGAUUGUCGGGAUUUAUACAUGGUAUAGAGUUUGAAGGUGUGUCCUAUCUUGCAUAUCUGUACAUUUAUGUAAUUGUUGUUAUAUACUAUGGGGUUGUUCAUAUGAUGAAAA